rnacentral:lncRNA from 1 species
GGAUAAGUAGUGUAUGGAUGACUCUCUAUCAGUCGUCCGCUGCGGCUGUGUGUUGGAGGGAUCCGAUUCUCGGCCUAAAAUAAUAAAAUCAUUAGUACUCGAUCGUGUUAAGAGGAAUAAAAGGGAAUAAAAAUCGGCUAUGUGAAGUACCUCGGCGUUUGGAUCAAUGUUGGUCGGGUCCAGAAGAUUGCAGUAUGCCGAUGCUGAGUUGCAGAAGAGGAAUUGCUUCCAAUCAGCCCACCAGAGUUUGAACGGCUGGACAGCAAAUGGAGCUACUAGCCAGUCGUUCAAGUUAAUUGUACUGGUGGAGAUCUACAUAGACGACGUUGUGGUCAAGUCCAAAAGCCACGAGGAACACCUAGCCGAUUUGCGAAGGGUCCUAGAGUGUACCAAAAAACAUGGUCUUAAGAUGAAUCCCAACAAAUGUGCUUUCGGCGUCUCCGCCGGACAGUUCUUAGGAUUCAUGGUGCACGAACGAGGCAUUGAAGUCAAUCAGAAGACUAUAGCGGCUAUCAACAAAGUCGUCGCCCCGCAGAACAAAACUGAGCUACAGUCUCUAAUCGGCAAGGUAAACUUCAUCAGAAGAUUUAUAUCUAAUCUAUCUGGGCGAAUCCAGGCGUUCACACCACUUCUGAAGUUGAAGCCAGACCAAGAAUUUAUUUGGGGAGAAGAACAGCGCAAGGCGUUAGAAGACAUCAAGCGAUACUUGGUCUCGCCCCCAGUCCUGGUUCCCCCUCAAACGGGUAAGCCGUUUAAACUAUAUUUAUCAGCCGAUGAAAAAGCUAUUGGGUCGGCUCUAGUCCAAGAGUUUGAAGGCAAAGAACGGGUGAUUUAUUACGUUAGUAGAAGACUCCUGGAUGCCGAAACAAGAUAUCCUCCAGUGGAGCGUUUGUGUUUGUGUCUUUACUUCUCGUGCACCAAACUCAGGCACUAUCUACUGUCGGCAGAAUGUAUAGUCGUAUGCAAAGAUGAUGUAGUAAAAUACAUGCUGUCACUGCCGAUAUUGAAAGGACGAAUCGGUAAGUGGAUCUUAGCUUUGUCAGAAUUUGACCUACGGUACGAAUCGGCAAAAGCCGUCAAAGGUCAAGUCAUGGCCGAUUUUGUCGCCCAGCACUGUGGGCCGGAAAUCGCCUUCGUGGAGCUAGCGCCUUGGCAAUUAUUUUUUGACGGGUCAUCAUGCGGGGUCGGAUCAGGAAUCGGCAUCGUUCUCAUAUCGCCUCGGGGGGCAAGAUAUGAUUUUUCUCUGCCGAUAGAUACCACCGCCACAAACAAUCAAGCAGAGUACAGAGCUGUAUUAAAAGGCUUACGAUUAUUGAGAGAAGUCAAAGCCGAUUCUGUUGAGGUCUUCGGAGAUUCGAUGUUAAUCGUGGAUCAACUAACCGGAAGGGCCGAGUGCAAAGAUGACAUAUUACGGAUUCAUCACGAAGAUUGCUUACAACUUUUAAAAGAAUUCAGAUCGGCAACAAUCGAGCACGUCCCAAGAGACCGCAACGAGGAAGCAAACAAACUCGCUCAACACGCAUCUGGGUAUCGGCCGAUUCCAGGCGCCAUGGCCUUAGAACUUGCAGCUGACGAUUGGCGUAAAGAAAUUGCCGAUUACCUGAAGGAUCCGUCUAAAAAGGUGGAACGGCGAGUGCGCUUUCACGCUACCAAGUACGUAUUGCUCGAAGAUGAUCUAUUCUACCGAACGAUCGACGGUGUUCUUCUUAAAUGCCUUGGGACAGAAGAAGCCAAGACUCUAAUGGGAGAGAUCCAUGAAGGGGUAUGCGGAGCUCACCAAUCAGCACAUAAGAUGAAGUGGAUGAUCAGAAACAACGGGUACUAUUGGCCUACGAUCCUUGAAGACUGUUUCAAAUAUUAUAAGGGUUGCCAGGAGUGUCAAAAGUUCGGAAAUAUCCAACGAGCACCCGCAUCAGCCAUGAAUCCCAUUAUCAAACCAUGGCCGUUCAGAGGGUGGGGAAUAGACCUCAUCGGCCAAAUUUAUCCACCAUCGAGCAAAGGGCACAAGUUUAUUCUGGUCGCUACCGAUUAUUUCACCAAAUGGGUGGAAGCAAUCCCACUAAGGACCGUGACGUCGGCUAUCAUGGCCGAUUUCGUAAGGGAUCACAUCGUCUACCGAUUCGGUAUCCCUCAAACUAUAACAACCGAUCAAGGAACAAUGUUCACAUCGGGAGAAUUUGAGGAAUUUACGACCGAUAUGGGCAUCAAAUUGCUAAAUUCUUCUCCGUACUACGCUCAAGCCAAUGGUCAAGCAGAAUCUUCCAACAAAGGAAUAAUCAAGUUGAUCAAAAGGAAGAUUGAAGAGUACCCGAAGAAGUGGCACCUAUGUUUGACCGAAGCCCUGUGGGCAUACAGAAUGGCCUGUCAUGGGGCCACCAAGUUAUCUCCCUAUCAGUUGGUAUACGGUCACGAUGCAGUACUUCCAUGGGAGUCGAGGGCAGGAUCAAGGCGCAUUUUACUUCAGGACCAAUUGUCAGCCAAUGACUACUCAGCUCUGAUGAAGGAAGAACUUGAUGAUGUGGCCGGUCAGCGACUAAGGGCCCUGAUAAGUAUCGAAGAGAAUAAAAAGAGAGUGGCCAGGUGGUAUGAUAAAAAGGUCAAAGUCAAGCAGUUCUCCCCCGGAGAUUUGGUAUGGAAGUUGGUACUACCGAUCGGGUCGAAAGAUCCUAAAUUCGGCAAAUGGUCUCCUACCUGGGAGGGGCCGUAUAAAAUCGGCAAAUGCGCUCCAGGGAAUGCCUAUAUCUUGGAAACAAUAGAAGGAGAAGAAUUCACUAGAGCUCUGAAUGGGAGGUACUUAAAAAGAUAUUACCCAAGUAUAUGGGUCGGUACCUAAGGAAUCAACACGAUCAUACAUAACCAAUACGAUUCGGUUUUGAGACACACAUAAAGUCGACCGGAACGGCCGAGUACAUUCAUUCGGUACGGGCGACGGGUCACAUGGCCGACAAAAUGUUUAAGUCGCCCUUAGAACAAAAAAUACAGCAACUAAUUAUUCUUUUUCUUACGCUCCCUCUCAGCCCGACCUAACUCUAUCAUGAGUCGGAUGUAUUCUUCUUCUAUGGCCUUCAUUGAAAUCUCCGCUUCAACUUGACGGGGGAGAUCUACGGGAGGGCGCGAAGUCCCCGCUCCCGUGUCUUCAAGAACGACUUGCCGAGGGAGUGGAUUACUCCUGCCGAUGGGAGGUCGCCGGCUGCCGUUCCUCUCCACGAAGUCCAGGAUCGUUCGGGCCUCCGUGGCGAUGUCGUCUUCAAGAUCGCCACAACGGUCGCUCCUGACAGGUGGAGAUUGAUAGUUAUUUUCACUCACCACGGAAUCCAAGACUACGCGAGCCUCCGUGGUAAUAUGGUCCCGGAGCUCCUCUCGGUGAGCCACGAUCAGCAUCUUGUCCUCCGACGUUAAUGGAUCUUCAGAAUGAAUGCACUCAAUGGCGCGCACGAGCUCGGGGUUAAGACGUUGAGGCUGAAACAAAGAAGGAAUAAGGAGAGAUAUUCUCUUCCUUAUGGUCUAAAAAGAAAGGAAGGUAGGGGUCAAAGACUUCACCUGGUUAACAGAAGAAGAAGAAGACGACGAGGCCAUGGCGAAGAAAUCGCACCGAUGAGAAGGGGCAGAAAACCGAGAGCCAAGAUUGAUGCUACCAGGAGUAAGCGCCGAGGUUGGUAUUUAUAAAAGAAUGCGUGGAAAUCUGGUAAAGCUACGUCCCAUCGGUAAUAAGAAGGCAAUAAAUAGAAAGGGCGUCGCGAGGGGCGGUCAAAGAAGAUAGUAAAUGAUUCGUACAAAACGGUCAGUGUUUUACAGAUUACCCAGAAGGGUAUCGAUAGCCGUGAUGGCCCGACGCCGGAUCUGAUCGGCAGAGUCAAGUACCCGUUGGUCUUCUUCCGCCGAUCCAGGAACCUCCGACGCGCUGCGAUGGAGUCUCAGUGCCUCAUGAGCAAAGCGUUGCCUCUCCCGUGUCAAAUCGGCAAUAACAGAAGGAAGCUCUUGGAGUUUGUUCUCUUCGGCACUGAUUGCCUUGGUCACUUGCUCCAUUUCCUUGGCAAGCUCCGCCCUCCGACGUUUGAGACGGUCUAUCUCACCUAUGAUCGCCGGGCGGGAGUCUUCUAGAACAUGGAGGCGCCGAUUCGCCUCUUGAGCCUGACGCUUGAAAGCGUCUUCCUCGUCGCGAGCCUUGGUCAGCUUGGCGCGAUCGGCCAUGUGACGAAGGGCUCUGAAGACCGGGAUCCUCAUGGACUCGAUGAAGGCCGCCGGCGCCAGGGCCUCCUCCGCCUCUUCUGGUACUCGUCCGCUGACGUCAUUAAAGAGCUGCCGAAUCGGUGAAGCGUCUUCUACUAAUCGGCCGAUGUCCCCUUGAAGGAGGGAUCGGAUGCUGGAAAGUUUGGCUCGGACGUCAUCAGGAACGGAACUCAAGGCGACUUGGCGAGAAGCAACUUCUUCGUCGUCAGAAAGGGCGACCGUAAAAGAAAAGAGGCUGUUGUCGGGGGUAUCCUGUUCCUGAAGAUAAUAAAGAAAAGAGAUAAACCAGCUGUAAGAAAGAGCAAAUCGGCUGAGAUAGAAGCAGAAGCAGAAAAGUUACCAUUUUAAAGCGAAUCUCCUCAUGUUGCACUUGAGAAGCCGCCAUGCCUUGCUCGGGGGCCUGCGUCAUGGGUUUAUCAGAUGAAGAGGACUCCACGAUAAUCGGCGCCGUGCUUGGACCAGCCCCCUGGAAGGAAAUCGGCGAUCGAGGAGCGAUUGAUGUGCCGAUGGUCUGUGUCAGAAGUUUGAAUAAAUACGGUAUGUGUAUGCCCAAAGGAAAUCGGUACGAAAAGUUCUAUACCGUAACGGAAGGAAACGGGGGCGCGUCAAUAGCUGGAGGGGCUGCUGCCGAUUGUGGUACUUCUGUAGGAAUGCUCUGUGCAGUUUAAAGAUAAAAGAAAAGUUAAUAUCAAAAAUAAUAAUCGGAGGCAUGCGCAACUCAGUUUUACCUGUAUGGCCUCCAACAACAACGAUGCGGCGGCCGCCCUAGCUUGCGUCAUAGUUUGAGUAUCGGCACCUUGAAUGACUUGAGGAGAUGGUACGGCCGAAGUUUCUGCUGAUACGCUCACAGGAGGAUCCGCCGAUCCCGUACGAGCCCGGACUCGGCGACUGGUUUUCUUGGUAGUCCUUUUAUGAACUUGUUUCGAUCGGCCAGUAAUCACGUCAACAGAUGGGGCGUUAUAGCCGAUAAGGGGAUAAGUAGUGUAUGGAUGACUCUCUAUCAGUCGUCCGCUGCGGCUGUGUGUUGGAGGGAUCCGAUUCUCGACCUAAAAUAAUAAAAUCAUUAGUACUCGAUCGUGUUAAGAGGAAUAAAAGGGAAUAAAAAUCGGCUAUGUGAAGUACCUCGGCGUUUGGAUCAAUGUUGGUCGGGUCCAGAAGAUUGCAGUAUGCCGAUGCUGAGUUGCAGAAGAGGAAUUGCUUCCAAUCAGCCCACCAGAGUUUGAACGGCUGGACAGCAAAUGGAGCUACUAGCCAGUCGUUCAAGUUAAUUGUACUGGAGUCUGGAAUUCGGUCUCGCAACCGACCGUAAUCUAGGCUAGAUGUGAGAUCAUCUCUAAACUUGAUUUUGCCAGCAAAGUACACCUGAAUCGGCAGCUGACC